GAGUUUGAUCCUGGCUCAGAACGAACGCUGGCGGCGUGCCUAACACAUGCAAGUCGAACGUGAUCCAGAGCUUGCUCUGGUGAAAGUGGCGCACGGGUGAGUAACGCGUGGAUAACCUACCCUGGUAUCCGGGAUAACMUUCSGRARGGGGUGCUAAUACCGGAUAAGCCCACGGGCUCUUUGGAGCUUGCGGGAAAAGGUGGCCUCUAUUUAUAAGCUACUGUAUCAGGAUGGGUCCGCGUACCAUUAGCUAGUUGGCGGUGUAACGGACCACCAAGGCGACGAUGGUUAGCUGGUCUGAGAGGAUGAUCAGCCACACUGGAACUGAGACACGGUCCAGACUCCUACGGGAGGCAGCAGUGGGGAAUUUUGCGCAAUGGGGGAAACCCUGACGCAGCAACGCCGCGUGAGUGAUGAAGGCCUUUGGGUCGUAAAGCUCUGUCAGAGGGGAAGAAAUGAUAUAGUGCUAAUACCACUUUAUCUUGACGGUACCCUCAAAGGAAGCACCGGCUAACUCCGUGCCAGCAGCCGCGGUAAUAC
rnacentral:rRNA from 1 species